CAGACCUGAGUGUGGCAGGACUACCCGCCGAACUUAAGCAUAUUACUAAGCGGAGGAAAAGAAAACAACCGUGAUUCUCUCAGUCAGCGGCGAGCGAAGAGGGAUCCAACUCGUUGCCGAAUCGGUUCUUAUAGGAACUUGAGUUGUGGCAAGAAAGCGUCGCUUCGAGGGCUGGUGCAGGAAUGGU
rnacentral:ncRNA from 1 species